CACUCUGCUUCUUAAACACUGGAUGAAAAUAGGAUUUACAUCAUUGAGUACUCAUGCUGAGAAACAAGACCGCAGGCUAUGCAGCCAUUAUUUCAAGUGCUUAUCUUAUGUUAGAGAUACAACCUCUGCAUUUAUUGAGAAGAAAGUGGAGUCUGACAGUAACUGCUACAAAGUUUUCACCAAGAGCCCUGACAGCUGUCCUUCAAACAUUCCUAACAACCCUUACGAUCAAGUGAAAACUCUUAAAGUGACCUGCAAAGCCUUUUGUAAUCUGCCCCUGCUUACUCCUCUGGCCUCAUUUGUGGGCACCUCAUGUAUAAACUCAAGCAGGAAAGAAGAGUGCUAUUUAUAGACUUCUUC
rnacentral:lncRNA from 1 species